rnacentral:rRNA from 1 species
GACGAACGCUGGCGGCGUGCUUAACACAUGCAAGUCGAACGGUGAAAGCGGAGCUUGCUCCGCUGGAUCAGUGGCGAACGGGUGAGUAACACGUGGGCAACCUGCCCCUCACUUCGGGAUAACUCCGGGAAACCGGGGCUAAUACCGGAUAUGACCUCCUUGGGCAUCCUUGGAGGUGGAAAGUUUUUCGGUGGGGGAUGGGCCCGCGGCCUAUCAGCUUGUUGGUGAGGUAGUGGCUCACCAAGGCGACGACGGGUAGCCGGCCUGAGAGGGCGACCGGCCACACUGGGACUGAGACACGGCCCAGAGUCCUACGGGAGGCAGCAGUGGGAAUAUUGCGCAAUGGGCGAAAGCCUGACGCAGCAACGCCGCGUGCGGGAUGACGGCCUUCGGGUUGUAAACCGCUUUCAGCAGGGAAGAAGCCGCAAGGUGACGGUACCUGCAGAAGAAGCACCGGCUAACUACGUGCCAGCAGCCGCCGUAA